GGUUGCAGCUCAGUGGUAGAGUGCUUGCCUAGCAUGCAUGAGGCACUGGGUUCAAUUCUCAGAACCA
rnacentral:tRNA from 1 species